rnacentral:rRNA from 1 species
UACGUAGGGUGCGAGCGUUAAUCGGAAUUACUGGGCGUAAAGUGUGCGCAGGCGGCAGAGCAAGUCGAGUGUGAAAGCCCCGGGCUUAACUUGGGAAUUGCGCUCGAAACUACUUUGCUGGAGUGCGGCAGAGGAAGGUGGAAUUCCACGUGUAGCGGUGAAAUGCGUAGAGAUGUGGAGGAACACCAAUGGCGAAGGCAGCCUUCUGGGCCAACACUGACGCUCAUGCACGAAAGCGUGGGGAGCAAACAGG